rnacentral:rRNA from 1 species
CCUACGGGAGGCAGCAGUGGGGAAUAUUGGGCAAUGGGCGCAAGCCUGACCCAGCAACGCCGCGUGAAGGAAGAAGGCUUUCGGGUUGUACACUUCUUUUGUCAGGGACGAAGCACGUGACGGUACCUGACUAAUAAGCCACGGCUAACUACGUGCCAGCAGCCGCGGUAAUACGUAGGGGGCAAGCGUUAUCCGGAUUUACUGGGUGUAAAGGGCGUGUAGGCGGGACUGCAAGUCAGAUGUGAAAACCACGGGCUCAACCUAUGGCCUGCAUUUGAAACUGUAGUUCUUGAGUACUGGAGAGGCAGACGGAAUGCCUAGUGUAGCGGUGAAAUACGUAGAUAUGAGGAGGAACACCAGUGGCGAAGGCGGGCUGCUGGACAGCUACUGACGCUGAGGCGCGAAAGCGUGGGGAGCAAACAGGAUUAGAUACCCUAGUAGUC